ACCCUUCAGAAUCCUCAUCCAUCAGUUCUGAACGUGGGUCCGAGUGGCUGUAAAAGGAGGAAAAGGAACACUGAAGCAGACUUGGAUUCCCUGUGACAUACCAGUUGGUUAACAAAAGG
rnacentral:snoRNA from 1 species